UGAUCUCCUAGCUCUCUGGGUGGCAUUUCCAUUGGGGAAAAAAAAGUGAUGGAAGAAUCCCCUUGAAUUAGGACUCGAGAUAAACAACAACAAAGAGGCUGGAGGGACUUUAUCCAAACAUAUGACCCUUUGGGGCUCUGAAGCAGGCCAUUUGGUGACUGGCAUAUGCAACAUCCAUUCCAAAUCCCAUGGGUGACCUUAUUAGCAAGGGGGUGGGGUUGGGGGAGGUAUGUAACCAGUAUCAACCUCAAAACAAAAUAUUUGAUCAAAGUCUUUUUUAAUGAUCUGUUAUUUCCAGUCUUUUGACUCUGCCAGAUAACCUACUCUCUCCAGAUGGAGAAACACUUUUAGAUUUUGACACAUAUCAUUUUUAGUAUGCCCACAAUUGAGACCAAAUAUUUGUGUGAAUGAGGGUAGGGAUGAGUGUGGAGAGAACAUGCUGCAUCUCCUAAUGAACUGAAUUCGACUAAUGUAUGCCAGCGCCUGUGCUGGGUACUGGAGAUACCAAGAUAAAUGAUAUAUCUGGUGCAAACAUUCUAGUGAUGCUUCUUGUAUUGUUGGGAGGGUUUGGUUUUGUUUUUUUUUUUUUUUUUGUUUUGUUUUUGUUUUUUAGUAUAACUGAGGCUGCUAAACACUCUACAAAUUGCUACCCUGCCAAAAUUCUGCCUGGGCUCAGACUAUUUCGGUGAUGGUGUUUCUCUUGUAUGCCAAGCUUGUUUUAAGAAAUUCUUCAACAGGAAUUAGGCAGGUCAAGAACUGUGAAGAAACCCAUCAGGAAUGGCAGUGUGUAAUAAGGGACAAAGGAGUUGGGAUUUGAUCCAGAUCUUCUGUCUCCAAGCACAGUCUUCAUUCUGUGGCACACAGUAGCCAACUUCAGGACACCGGUUCUGAUUGCAUGACUACAGAGAUUCAAGAGGCUCAAAAUGAACCCUGCAACCGGUUUUCGAACCCUGACAUGCCCUUGUAAUGACCCAUCCAUGCAUUGCUGGAAUAAAAGACCUGUGUAGUCCUAGAGGGUAGUCACCGUGGACCGUGGACAAGUUACUCACACUCUGGACCUAUUUCUUCACCCAUAAAAGGUUUCCUCACAGGAUGUCAUGAGGAUUAACUAGUUAGUAUAUGUAAAGCACUCAGACUACUGGCUGACAUAUUGGAAGACUCGAAUGUGUGGGUGUGAGCCUGAACCUGAAAGCUGAGUGGUCAUUUCUAAGAAGGGCUAGUAAUUAAGACAAUGUUCUUGACCCUGCGGGGAUGAAAAAGAUCCGUGCAAUCCAGUCCCUGCUCUCAGGAAGUCUGUAAUCUACAUCUGGAUGAAGUGGAAACAGACGAGGAUGACAUAGUUGUACAGGAGUACAAGAGCCAAGAGCUGGAGGUCAUUCCAGGCCCUGUGAUUGAGCGCCCACCACUGGAAAUGUGAGCGGAAGUGAUGAGGCUGCUAAGAGUGGGCAAGCAUUCUCCAGACCUCCCCUUUCACCUCCUCACCCCUGGAAGCAGACACUUCUGAGAUGGCAGAGUGGACAGACAGAAGCAACUGGGACCCCUGAGUCACUGUUGGGGAAGAGUUACCAAGGAGAUCAAGUCCCAGGUCAACAGUGACGGGCCACGUUGAUAGGAGUUUCCCUGGAUGUGAUGAGAUGAGAAGGCGCUUGCCCUCCGUGAUCUUUCUCCCAAGAACAUAUAACCCUGCUGUAAUCACAAGGAAAACAUCAGACAAAUCUCAGCAGAGGAGCAUCCUGCAAAAUACCUGAUAGGUACUUCCCCCAAACUGACCUUGAGGUCAACAAAGACAAGGAAAUUGAGAGACUGUCACAGCCAGAAGGAGCCUGGGGAGACAUGAGAACUAAAUGUGACAUGGUGUUGGGUGGGAUCCUGGGACAGGAUCUUGGGUGCUGGCUUACUCUGCUGGUUCAGCCCUGGUCUCUCCUGUCCAAUUUGAAGGUGGCCCCCACCUGCCUUGACCUCUCCUCCUCAGCCACAGCACAGUCUUCCAGCCGCCACCCUGACACUAAUUGUCUGGCCCCUGUGCUUCCUAGAUCUGGAAGAUUCCUUCUAGAGCAAACCCCCAUUUUAUGUGAUUUCCUUUUGUUUUAGGAAAGGUUUCUUUUCAGAAAAGUACGAUGCAUAAUCUAGCACACCCACUUUUCCAUGAAACGGGAUGAACAACUAUUGGUAUUUUGUCAUCUUUGCUUACUGAAUUUUUCCUAUG